UACAGAGGUCUCAAGCGUUGUUCGGAUUCAUUGGGCGUAAAGGGUGCGUAGGCGGCGCGGUAAGUCGGGUGUGAAAUCUUGGAGCUUAACUCCGAAACUGCAUUCGAUACUGCCGUGCUUGAGGACUGGAGAGGAGACUGGAAUUUACGGUGUAGCCGUGAAAUGCGUAGAUAUCGUAAGGAAGACCAGUGGCGAAGGCGGGUCUCUGGACAGUUCCUGACGCUGAGGCACGAAGGCCAGGGGAGCAAACGGG
rnacentral:rRNA from 1 species